GAUGAACGCUGGCGGCGUGCCUAAUACAUGCAAGUCGAGCGGACAGACGAGGCGCUUGCUGCUCUGACGUUAGCGGCGGACGUGUGAGUAACACGUGGAUAACCUACCUAUCAGACUGGUAUAACUUCGGGAAACCGGCGCUAAUACCGGAUAAUAUAUUGCACCGCAUGGUUCAAUAGUGAAAGACGGUUUUGCUGUCACUUAUAGAUGGAUCCGCGCCGCAUUAGCUAGUUGGUAAGGUAACGGCCUACCAAGGCAACGAUGCGUAGCCGACCUGAGAGACGGAUAGGCCACACGGGAGCGUGACCACGGUCCAUAGUCCUACGGGAGGCACCAGUAGGGAACCGGCCGCAACAGGCGGAAGUCUUACGGAGUAGCCGCGCGCGAGAUAUGACGGUCCUCGGAUCGUAAAACUCUCUUACGAGUUAAGAACCGAUGUGUAAGUAACUAUGCCCUUCUUGACGGUACCGAAUCAGAAAGCCACGGCUAACUACGUG
rnacentral:rRNA from 1 species